CUCUUUCUUUUCCAGCGUGAAAACCCUUCUGCCGUUGAUUCUUCUUCUCUAUUUCGCUCUUUGAUCCGCCUAGGAGAAGAAGGGUUUGGAUUCUUGCUCCCUGCUCAAAUUCAACUAAUUUACUGAUUAUGGAAUCAAGUAAUGAUAAUGUGGACAAUCAGAAAAACAAAGUGUUAGAACAACAACCAAAUUAUGUACCCGAAGAUGAAACUCAAGAUGAACUCGAGGAUCCUGAUGAGAAUAGUAAUUCUUCAAGAGGGACAACUUCUGAAAUGAGGGAAGUUCGUGAUAACAUUGCUCGCUUAUUAUGGGAGUCAAUGUGAUAAUUGCCUACAGUAUUAGAUGUCGUAUUUACUGUUUUCUUUCAAUUGACCUCUCAAUAUUUGUGUAUUUUUCAUAAUGUUUUCCCUUAUUAUGUGAUGAUGGUUAUUGUUUUUAUCACGUGCAUUGCAUGUGCAAUCUAACUAGUAAAUAAAUAAAUAAAUGAG